AUACGUAGGGUGCAAGCGUUAAUCGGAAUUACUGGGCGUAAAGCGUGCGCAGGCGGUUUUGUAAGACAGAAGUGAAAUCCCCGGGCUCAACCUGGGAACUGCCUUUGUGACUGCAAGGCUAGAGUACGGCAGAGGGGGAUGGAAUUACGCGUGUAGCAGUGAAAUGCGUAGAUAUGCGGAGGAACACCGAUGGCGAAGGCAAUCCCCUGGGCCUGUACUGACGCUCAUGCACGAAAGCGUGGGGAGCAAACAGGAUUAGAUACCCUGGUAGUCCACGCCCUAAACGAUGUCAACUGGUUGUUGGGUCUUCAUUGACUCAGUAACGAAGCUAACGCGUGAAGUUGACCGCCUGGGGAGUACGGCCGCAAGGUUGAAACUCAAAUGAAUUGACGGGG
rnacentral:rRNA from 1 species